CUCAUUCAGUACGUUGUGUGCGAGGCGAAGACGACCGGCCGAAGUGGGUUGAGCCGGGGGCGAGGGACUAAGCAUGGAGCACACAGCAGCGCCAAGUCCUGAGGCCCGCUGGAAGAGUCACAGAGGGUAGCUGAAAGAACGUUCGCGGGCUCCGGUAGGACAGUCCCGUCCCGUUGCUGUGUAGGCAGGUGAGGAGCAGAGAGGAGAGGCAAGGAAAUGGGGCCCUGGAGGCAGGAGGUGAGGGGAGCAGCGUGCAAGACGCGGGAGAGUAGGGUCGAGGAGAGGCGGUCCAGCCGGCCGGAAGCGGGAGAGGGGCAGGCCGUGGCGCCUGACCGCUGGGGACAGGAGAGGCUUGCACAGAGGACCAGGGACGUGCCGGGCCACGAGGGCCGGCGGAGGGCCCGAAGGAAGGGCUGGACGUGGAGAAUCAAGGAAGUGUGUUCCCGUGAGUGGACCAGGGCCCUGAGGAAGCGCACCCGGGAGCAGAGCACAGCGUGGGCGAGGAAUCAAGGAACGCAGGAGAGGCGGGAGGGAGGAGAACGGAGGAGGAUGAGGCGGUGGUGGUAGUGGCCUGGAAGGUGCUGGAGACAGCCCUGUCAGUGUGGGGCACGGGGAGACGGGAAAGGUCAGAGAGACGCCCAGAGGAGGAGUGACCGUCUCAAAAAUGGUGGCAGCUAAAACGGUAGGGGCCUUGGGAGCGAACUGGGAGAGCAGAUGGAUUCGGCACAGCACGUUGGCGAUGAAGAGGGCAAGGCGGGGAGCAUGAGGGCAGGGCAUCCAGGGCACAAGUUGCUGGGGGAAGACGGUGGCUGCCUCACGGGCCCGACAGCUACGAGGGCGAGUAGGACGGUGGCUGAAGAUGACGCGAGGGUCUCUCAGAGACGACAGUGGGAGAAAAAGAGGAGGAUGGGCCAAGAAGGGUUGAAAUCCGCACAGCAGGGACGUGCGCAGAGGGCGAUAGUGGAGUCUCGGGCAGCCGUGAGCAGGUGGUCUGCGGGCUGUGGGUGGGGUCAGGAUAGCCGAUGGGAAGAGACAGGGGCAGGCGGGACUGAAGAGGGGAGGGAACCUCGUGAAGAGCGUGCGGUGUUGGGACAUGGGCCGAUGUCUGGGCAAGGGGCUUGGCAGGGGAGGAAUGGAGGCCACGUGGCAGGAGCAGGGCGGGAGCGCGGAGGCAGGACUCACGGCCCGGGGGGUGUGAAGAGCCGGACCCCUGGGGAACAGGUGCGGAAAGGGGAUACGGUGGCUGUAGUGACACAGAGGAAACGGGGCAGGCUGGCAGUUAUGAGGCACCCCGCUCAGGAAGCACGUCAGGGCCUUCGGGAUGGACUCACGAGCAUGGAGUCCAGCGUGUGGAUGGCAGGCACGCUUAGAAAUGGCAGAGGAGCAGGUAGGAAGCAAGGCGGAGGUGAGAGUUCGCAAAGAUCGCCAAAUGCCUGCUUCUGCUAUUUCAGGGGACCCGCAGAGGAAUGGAGGCCACGUGGCAGGAGCAGGGCGGGAGCGCGGAGGCAGGACUCACGGCCCGGGGGGUGUGAAGAGCCGGACCCCUGGGGAACAGGUGCGGAAAGGGGAUACGGUGGCUGUAGUGACACAGAGGAAACGGGGCAGGCUGGCAGUUAUGAGGCACCCCGCUCAGGAAGCACGUCAGGGCCUUCGGGAUGGACUCACGAGCAUGGAGUCCAGCGUGUGGAUGGCAGGCACGCUUAGAAAUGGCAGAGGAGCAGGUAGGAAGCAAGGCGGAGGUGAGAGUUCGCAAAGAUCGCCAAAUGCCUGCUUCUGCUAUUUCAGGGGACCCGGAGAGGAAUGGAGGUAGUCUAGCACGUGGCGGGAGGAGCCCGCAGAGGCAAGCACGGAUAGACGGGGACCUUCAAACCAGCGCGGGGUCACAGGUCGGGUCGCAGAAGAUGACGUUGUCAGCCAAGGGGCGCGGAGGGAGAGAGCGAGGGGUGGGACAGUGGGGGCUGGGAGGUGGGGGCUCUUGCCCUGCGGGCUGGAGCCAAGGGACAACAGAGAGAGGGCAAGGCAGAAAGGGCUGGAGACCGAGAGGAGCGUCUCAAAGUCUGCAUGUGGGUGUUGUGAGGGGACCGUGCCCAAGAGGGCAAGAGGGCAGAGCGGGGUGGAUCCCGACCUGGCCCACUGGGAGCAGGAGAGCAAGGGCGAUGGGCAGGGGCGCAGCAUGGGUCCCGAAGAAGGAGAGAAGGAAGGCGUGGGGGCAAAGGAAGGAAGCGGAGGAGCGG
rnacentral:lncRNA from 1 species